ensembl:lncRNA
UCUCACCUGAUUCACGGUCAAGGGAGCGCCAUCUUUGACUCUUAUCGAAAGAAACACACACACAGCACCUGUUGGGUGUUUAUAGCACAGGGAAGUGAGAUGCUGAGUGUUGCCAACACAACAUGAGGAAACCAUCGAGCCGUCACUUCCUGUUGGCUCGCCAUCCACCCUCCAUCUGCUCACGUCCUUCGACCAACGGCGUGCUGUGAAUAACAGAACGGAGGAUGCGUGAGACCAUCGAGCAGCCGCGCCCUCACCCCAUCUGGGAUCACACAGCCGCAGCACAUGCCUUCUGAUUGAUUUAUUCAAGAUUAAUUGUUGCUUUGUCGGCUCAUUGCUUCCAACCGGUUCGCGUCAGAUGUCUGUGCUUUGCACUACAUUUGAACGCGGUGCAAACAAAGGGUCCUCCGCUCGUCUCGUCGCCACGAUGCAGCUACAGGUCGGCGCCAUGAAUUAG